UACGUAGGGUGCAAGCGUUAAUCGGAAUUACUGGGCGUAAAGCGUGCGCAGGCGGUUUUGUAAGUCAGAUGUGAAAUCCCCGGGCUUAACCUGGGAACUGCGUUUGAAACUACAAGGCUAGAGUGUGGCAGAGGGGGGUGGAAUUCCACGUGUAGCAGUGAAAUGCGUAGAGAUGUGGAGGAACACCGAUGGCGAAGGCAGCCCCCUGGGUUAACACCGACGCUCAGGCACGAAAGCGUGGGGAGCAAACAGG
rnacentral:rRNA from 1 species